rnacentral:rRNA from 1 species
AUUGAACGCUGGCGGCAGGCCUAACACAUGCAAGUCGAACGCAGUGGGGACGGGUGAUUAACACGUGGGUAACCUCCCAUCAGAGGGGAUAACACUUGGAAACAGGUGCUAAACCGAUACUGAUGGAUGGACCCGCGGUGCAUUAGCUAGUUGGGGAGGUACCGGCUCACCCAGGCCACGCUGCAUAGCGGACCUGAGAGGGUGAUCGGCAACACUGGGACGGAGACAGGGCCCAGACGCCUACGGGAGGCAGAAGUGGGGAAUCUUCGGCAAUGGACGAAAGUCGGACCGAGCAACGCCGCGUGAGUGAAGAAGGUUUUCGGAUCUUAAACCUCGUUUGUCAGAGCAGCGGUAUCUGACCAGAAAGCCACGGCUAACUACGUGCCAGCAGCCGCGGUAAUAC